CCUACGGGAGGCAGCAGUGAGGAAUAUUGGUCAAUGGGCGUAAGCCUGAACCAGCCAAGUCGCGUGAGGGAUGAAGGUUCUAUGGAUCGUAAACCUCUUUUAUAAGGGAAUAAAGUGUGGGACGUGUCCUGUUUUGUAUGUACCUUAUGAAUAAGGAUCGGCUAACUCCGUGCCAGCAGCCGCGGUAAUACGGAGGAUCCGAGCGUUAUCCGGAUUUAUUGGGUUUAAAGGGUGCGUAGGCGGCCGUUUAAGUCAGCGGUGAAAGUCUGUGGCUCAACCAUAGAAUUGCCGUUGAAACUGGGAGGCUUGAGUAUGUUUGAGGCAGGCGGAAUGCGUGGUGUAGCGGUGAAAUGCUUAGAUAUCAUGCAGAACCCCGAUUGCGAAGGCAGCCUGCCAAGCCAUGACUGACGCUGAUGCACGAAAGCGUGGGGAUCAAACAGGAUUAGAUACCCCAGUAGUC
rnacentral:rRNA from 1 species